AACGAACGCUGGCGGCAGGCUUAACACAUGCAAGUCGAACGCCCCGCAAGGGGAGUGGCCGACGGGUGAGUAACGCGUGGGAACAUACCCUUUUCUACGGAAUAGCUCUGGGAAACUGGAAUUAAUACCGUAUACGCCCUACGGGGGAAAGAUUUAUCGGGGAAGGAUUGGCCCGCGUUGGAUUAGCUAGUUGGUGGGGUAAAGGCCUACCAAGGCGACGAUCCAUAGCUGGUCUGAGAGGAUGAUCAGUCACAUUGGGACUGAGACACGGCCCAAACUCCUACGGGAGGCAGCAGUGGGGAAUAUUGGACAAUGGGCGCAAGCCUGAUCCAGCCAUGCCGCGUGAGUGAUGAAGGCCUUAGGGUUGUAAAGCUCUUUCACCGAUGAAGAUAAUGACGGUAGUCGGAGAAGAAGCCCCGGCUAACUUCGUG
rnacentral:rRNA from 1 species